CUCCUCAUCAGAGCCCACUUGGCGGCAGCCGUUUAGAAAGCUCUAUUUGUACCACACCAAAUCUACUCCCAAACCUCAGCCCUUUUUGUUUUACCUUCAAAAGACAUUCACAGCUUGAAUCAAUCAAUUUUAAUGACAACCUCUGAGGUAUCUGAAAAAAGAUAUCUCACUGAGUUUUUCCUUUUCCAUUGUAAAUGUUUCCAUCCUUCCCAAGACAAAAAAAAUCUUGUCGUCAUUCUAGAUCCUGAGUUCCCUCAUCCUUCCAACUCUAUUAAAUACCAGUCCUUUUAGUUCUGUCAUGUUACUAUUUCUCAAACAACCUCCUCUGCUCCACCUCUACUGCCACCACUCUAUUUAAGAUUCUGGUCACCUUUCAGCUAGAUUAUUGUAAUUAUCUCUUUAGCCUGGCCUCCAUCCUCUACCAUUUAAUUCACCAUCUAGACUUGAAACCAGAAUGAUUUUUCUAAAAUGCAAAUCUGACACCAUCGCCUGGUUCCCUCUUACUUACCAAGUAAGUAUUAACUCCUUAGCGGAGCAUAUGAAGACCUUCAUGAAAGAAUUUCUAGUAUGUCUCACCAUUACUAUCCAGUGAUACUAAAUUUCUGAAAGCAGGCUAGGAAAGGCUAUUUUAACAGUUGAAGUGGGAAAUGAGAGUGGUCAGAAUGAGGGUAGUGGGAUUAAAAUUUUAGAACAGGGGUUGGGCUUGGAAGGUGCCUCAAAAGGACACGGUUUUCACUUAUCUCUGCCUUCCAAAGAUAACUGUCAGAUUUCUGUUUUGAUUGACAAAAGAGAUGCUGGUGUCAUUCACCAAGACUGAGACACAGAAGGAGGAGGCUGGGGGAGCUUGGGGAGCACAAGGUGUCAAGGAGAUGGACGGAGCCUGUACCACGUGCAGAUGGAGAUACUGAAGUCCAGAAAUUUAAAUAAUUUGUCCAAGGUCACGCUUCUCCUAAUCAGAUCUGACUCCUUGAACUUGGCCUUGCUAUGCCCUUCAAAGCAAUAAACAAAGCACUUCCCUGGCUUGUUACUGCCUCAGUAGAGGCCCAACGCUUAGCUACGGGCCACCGAGUUGCCGUGACCUAAGCUGCCUGUCGUGAACCUGAUGUCUGACCCACGAAGCCGCAGAGUUGGGCGUGCACAGCCACACUUCCAUCAUUAGACGGAAGUGGUACAGAUGAGAC